ACAACCCUUGCUGAACCCCCGCCUCCUCUCAGUCCCCACCGCCAGCCAGCUCAGCGCUAUUUACGAGAAGGCAGCCCUUUGUUACAGAAAACGGAUUAUCCAGUCACUAAUUCCAUGGCACAUUACAACAAAGUGAGACAACAAUGCACCCCAUAUUGGCUACACAAGUACCACGACAAAAUUGUCUCGUCAGGUCUUACCAGCAUGUUUUGCCGUCUCCCUGCUUUCUCAAGUUCUGUUUCCCCGGUUUUGACCAUUCUGCCUGCCCUGACCCCGAGCCUGCCUGCCGUUCUGUACCUGUCUGACUCUGACCCAUUUACGAACCUCUGCCUGUCCUGACGCCGACCCUGCCUGCUGUUCUGUACCUUAUUGACUCUGCCCUGGAUUAUGGACAUCUGCCUGCCUUUGACCUGUCUUUUACCUAACCCCGGUUUGGGUCAAUAAACAUCUGUGACUCUA